rnacentral:rRNA from 1 species
UACGAAGGGGGCUAGCGUUGCUCGGAAUCACUGGGCGUAAAGGGUGCGUAGGCGGGUCUUUAAGUCAGAGGUGAAAUCCUGGAGCUCAACUCCAGAACUGCCUUUGAUACUGGAGAGCUUGAGUCCGGGAGAGGUGAGUGGAACUGCGAGUGUAGAGGUGAAAUUCGUAGAUAUUCGCAAGAACACCAGUGGCGAAGGCGGCUCACAGGCCCGAUACUGACGCUGAGGCACGAAAGCGUGGGGAGCAAACAGG